UACAGAGGGGGCAAGCGUUAUUCGGAAUUAUUGGGCGUAAAGGGCGCGUAGGCGGCUUGGCAAGUGGAAGGUGAAAUCCCUCGGCUUAACCGAGGAACUGCCCUCCAAACUGCUUCGCUUGAGACCAGGAGAGGUGAGUGGAAUUCCCAGUGUAGCGGUGAAAUGCGUAGAUAUUGGGAGGAACACCAGUGGCGAAGGCGGCUCACUGGACUGGUACUGACGCUGAUGCGCGAAAGCGUGGGGAGCAAACGGG
rnacentral:rRNA from 1 species